AGGGUUUGAUCAUGGCUCAGGAUGAACGCUGGCGGCAUGCCUAACACAUGCAAGUCGAACGAAGUUACCGGAGCAGCGGACUUAGGUUCAACGCACCGNCUAACUUAGUGGCGGAUGGGUGAGUAACACGUGAGCAACCAACCUUUUACUCGGGAAUAACAUGGGGAAACCCAUGCUAAUACCUGAUAUUAUCAAGAAAUGGCAUCAUAAUUUGAUGAAAGAUUUAUCGGUAAAAGACGGGCUCGCGUCCGAUUAGCUAGUUGGUAAGGUAAUGGCUUACCAAGGCCACGAUCGGUAGCCGGACUGAGAGGUCGACCGGCCACAUUGGGACUGAGAACGGCCCAGACUCCUACGGGAGGCAGCAGUGGGGAAUAUUGGGCAAUGGACGCAAGUCUGACCCAGCGAUGCCGCGUGAAGGAUGGAAGGCCCUCGGGUUGUAAACUUCUUUAGACAGGGAAGAAAGAAAUGACAUUACCUGUAGAAUAAGCCACGGCUAACUACGUGCCAGCCGCCGCGGUAAUAC
rnacentral:rRNA from 1 species